rnacentral:lncRNA from 1 species
AUCAAACAGGGAAAAAAAAAAUACAUAACAGAAUAAAAUCCCAAUUAACGGAAAAUUACCUAAUAACGAUAGAAAAAAGAGAAAAUAUGAUUGCUAACUCUGGAAAUCUCUUUGCCGCAUGAGAGUUACGAUCAGACUUCAAAUAGGUCCAGAAAAACUCUCCCUUCUCUCUCCAGACAUUACUGACAUAACUCUGUCUUUCUCCGUUUCUCCUUUUUUCCAAAAAAAAAUAUUAUAUUUAUAUUUUAUUUAAUAAUUGUUACUCAAAAUUAUAAAACUAAUAUUAAAAAUAUUUUUUAAAAAUUUUUCAAAAUUCAAUUUUUUACCGUUCUGAAAAACAAUUAAUAUUAGAAAUAUUAUUUUUCAAAAAUUUUCAAAUUUUAAUUUAUUACCAUAGAGGAAAACAAAUAUAAACUAAUAAUAAUCAAUUUUUGAAAUUUUUAAUUAGAGCCUCAAAAUAUAAUUUACAUUUACCUAAUUAUCCACUCGAAUUAACCAUUUUAAUUAAUUUUAAAAAUAAAAAAUUUAGAAUUUGAUAAUCAUCCCUAAAUUAAAAAUUUAGAAAAUAACUGAUUAAUCCCAAUAAUUGAACACAUAUUUCAAUCACAAAUUUAUAAAUUCAAAGGUUUUCUAACAUAGUUUGAACAAUAAAGCAUAAUUAUAAUUAAAAAUCCUAAUUAUUACCCAUUACCAAUUUUUUAUUAAUUACAUAAUUAAUUAUUAUAAAAAAUUUAUUCUCAUAAAAAAAUUUGCUAUGAUAUGAAAACAUGUUAAAUUAAUUAAACAAUCCAUUUGAUAGUAAUUAUAAGAAAUACUUUUAGGUUGAAAAGUAUUGUUUUUUUAUUUAAAAAAAAAUAUAGCCCUAUUUGGUUUUCAUAAAAUUGGACAAAAAGAAAAAAAAUAUAAGAAAGUAAAAAAUAAUUUAAAUUAAUUAAUUAUUUUUAUUCCCUAUUUCAAAUUCACUUUACUUGUUUUGACUCAUCCAUAUCAAUAUUAAAUAAUUUGAAAAUCUAUAAAUUGUUGAUUAAUUUUAAUUAUAUUUGAUUUAAAAAAAAUCAUGGGACAACCAAAUAUAAUAAAAUCUUUUUUUUUUUAAUAUUUUUUAUUUUUUAAUAUUUUCUGAAAAUUUGACAAAAUUUAGGAAAAUUUUUAGAGUACGUUUGGCAAAUUAUAGGAAACACUCUUUAAUUUAAAAAAUGUUUUUAAAAAAUAAUUAGAUAUUUAACAAAAUUUAUAAAAUACUUUAAAAAAUAUGAAAAAUCACUUGAACUAUUAAAAAAUCACUUAUAAUAUUUUUUGAAGAAACAUCUGAUUGGUGGAUUUUCUAAAAAUACUUUUAAAGAAAAUACUUUAAAAAUAUUUCGAAUAAAAAUACUAUCAAUAUACUCUUCAACCAUUUGACAGUGAUUUUAGAAAGUAUUUUUAAUUUUUUUAAUAAUUAAAAUUUUGUAUCAUUAAAGUAUUAAAAAUGUUAGAAAUAUUUUUUAAAAUCACUAUCAAACACAUUUUUAAAAUUUUGAAAAAUCACAUGUUUUAUAAAGAAACAUUUGAUAAAUUAUUUUUCUAAAAAUAUUUUUAUAGAAAACAUUUCAAGUAAAAAUAUUAUUAAAUCCACUCAAAAAAUAUAUUUAAUAAUAAUUUUAAGAAGUGUGGUAAUGUUUCAAAUACUUAAAAAAUACAAAUUUUUAAUGUUAUAAAUUUUAGAAUUGUUUCCUAAAAUCACUGUACCAAACGGAUUCUAAAGGUGCCAGAUAAGCUGCACAUCAGAGUUCAAUGGAAGGCCGGCCACCACAUGCUCGCCAUUGGGCUUUACCACUGCUUCUGGGCUUGCUACUGGGUCUGCUGUGGGGAUCGCAUGUUUUCCUAGCCUAUACUAACCUUUUAAAGACUUAAACAAGUAGCCCCCAUUUGCUCCAAACCCAAACACUGAUAGAAAAAUAUUUUGGGCUAAGUUCACGGCCAGGCCCCAAGCCCAUUAAAUAACUUAAACACGCCUGAUCCAACUCUCCCGAUUCUUAGAAUAAGGCGGGGCAUGGUCCAGCCCUUGGUUGGGAAUUUUUUUCCAUCUUAUAUGCAAAUAUUGGAUUUUAUGUGGAACAACAUAACUGGGAGCAUUCCAAAGGAGAUAGGAAACAUUACAACUUUAGAACUCUUGCUCCUGAAUGGCAACAAGUUAACAGGUUCUUUACCAGAAGAGCUCGGUAAUCUUCCAAACUUGGACAGAAUACAGAUUGACCAGAACCAAAUAUCAGGAUCAAUUCCUAGAUCUUUUGCGAACUUGAAUAAAACAAAGCACUUUCACAUGAACAACAAUUCAAUUAGUGGGCAAAUUCCAUCCGAGCUCUCCAGAUUGCCAGAACUUGUUCACUUUCUGCUUGACAAUAACAACCUAUCAGGAUAUCUUCCACCAGAAUUCUCUGAAAUGCCAAAGUUACUUAUAGUUCAGCUCGACAACAACCACUUCAACGGGAGUAUUCCAGCUUCUUACAGCAACAUGUCUAAAUUGUUGAAGUUGAGCCUCAGAAACUGCAGCUUGCAAGGAGAAAUUCCCAACUUGAGCAAGAUACCAUAUCUUGGUUAUUUAGACCUCAGUUCGAACCAGCUUAAUGGAACCAUACCUCCUGGUAGAUUUUCUGAGAAUAUUACAACGAUAGAUCUUUCUAACAACAAUCUUACUGGAACAAUUCCUGCGAACUUUUCGGGUCUUCCUCAUCUACAAAAAUUGUCACUGGAAAACAAAAAGUAUUCUAAUUAGUCAAAUAAUUUAAUUUUUCUCACAUUAAUCAGAGUAUUAACAUCAACUUGAGAUAUUUCCAUGUUGGGCAUGAUUUAAUUGUAUCUUUGUCCACAAAUUAAAAAAAGAAGGCAUAUAAUAUGGACAUUUUGGACAGCCACAGAUUAGCUGUCCAUAUGUGACAAAUUUCCAGGUUCUAUACACCAUAACCUACUGCCCUUAAUUCUCUCUGGAUAUCCUAGAAAAAUGAAAAAUGCAUUUUCUGGCUCUCAAUUCUGUCUUGUCUUUACCUAAUAUGGGCAUAAGGUAUACAACAAAACAUCUUUCAAUUGAGAGUCUACUUUUGUACCUGUCCAUAAUUCUUGGGGUGUUUUGAACCCAAUGGCUGAUGUAGGGCACCUGUUGAUCAAGUAAACUAAGUCAUCACUGCUUUCCCCCGGGAAGUACUUGGCAAACCUGUAUUCAACAACAGAGAGCAGACUCUUUCUGAAAUUGGUCUAUUUAUAUAAUGAAAUAAUCCAUUUUAUUGCACCAAAACAGGUAAAACUUGAUUCUCCUUGAUUUUCUAAGCACACAAUGCUCACAAAACUCAAGUUUUUCAAUCCUUUCCCUACAAAAUAAACCCUGCCUCUGUAAUUGAUACAAUCCCCUUUCACUCACAUGCUACAACUUAGUUUUGUUAAGAUCAUUCUUCAUUACAGGAUCAACCUUACCAACUGUUGUUUCUCCUAUCAAUGAGUGCAAAUUCUUCUUUUUAUUCCAAAGUUCCAUUAAUUUUCAGCUUUAAAUGUACAACCACUUUGAUCAAGCAUUACAAGAGAGAUACAGUUUCCAUUUAGCUGGGGAACAUAGCUCACCUCUUGCAGAACUCUUUCAAAGACAUCAAACAUUCUGAUUCUAAUUGACCCCAAUACCAAUGACCUUGCAAGCUUUGUUAUUCCCAAGAAAGGAGGUUCCUCCAUCCCACCUUUUAGCUGAACACAGGGAAGAGCAACCAGAGUAAUCAAAUCUUUGCUUCAAUCAACCUGUGAAACCUCUAUGAGAUCAUACCCAUCAGAAGCCAUAGUUAACAACUGUCUGAGUUACACCUCAUAUAUAUAUAUAUAUAUGGGUUCAACAAUCCUCAGUAUGAGCUCCAAAACCACACACUACAUUUUUAAUACGAAAGUAAAUGCUACUUUAAGACCCUUUAAAUAAACUAAUGGUAAAUGACAAUCAUAGUGAGACUUAAAAUGCAUAUAGCAAAGCUCAAACUAAGAAAAAAAAGUGAGCCUGUUUUUCACAUAACCAUAGUCAGUCAAGCAAGGCCAUCUCUGAAUAGUGUGAAAUGAUGUAAAGUUCCAUAAAAUACAUAACAACCUUGACUCAGAGGACUUCCAAUGGUAUCUAUUACACACGGUACAUCAACUAGAUUAAUAAUAUCCCAAAAUACCUGAAAUUCUGGUUCUGUCUCCUCCAGACUUGGGAAAUUAAUGUGAUAAUUUGGAGAUCCAUUUGCACUAGGUUAAAAGCCAUGCAAAGGGACACUCUUGUGUCAGCCUGUUUAUUUGUUGUGCAAUAUCCAAAAUGAGUAUAUUUUGGUUUUGGUUUUCUCUAUGAUAUCCACGAGUGACCAAACAAAUUCCUCAGGGAGAAUAAGAGGCCCCAGCAAGUAGAGGAGACUUGGGAAGAGACAGCCAAUAAAACAAACCAUGAUAGCAAGCUCCAUUGAGUGUGAUAGAACAGUGAACAGUCCAGUAAGGAAUGCCAGUCCCAUUGAGGCAAGUGACAUCCAUAACAACUGCAAGGCAAUAAAGUGCAGAUUCCAUUUAUUUUUCUCAUCAUUCCAAGAUGAUGUGAAAAGAAUCACUGCAGCAGUCAUGGACGUAGUCAUAGCUACUGUAUCAGUGACAAUAAAAGCUUUGAAUGCUGCUUUCCUUGUUAGCACUGCCAUCCCUUGAUGUGGACCUUCACUUUGGAUGCCCCCUGGAAGGGUGAAUGCCGCUGUAAAUGUGACUGUUGCAACUAAUGUUGCCAUUACUAUGAGGGUGCCAGCCAUUUCUUUACGCCUCUUGUCCCGUAUUGAUUCUAUUAUAAGAUCUUCUUGUUCUAGGAUUCCCUCUAACUUUUUAGCUUGCUUUGCACUUGCCGCCUUCAGAAUUUCUAUGGUCCGUUGCUGCAACAGAGGAGGCCAUAAAUGAAAUCUCUUUUCUGGUAAGGUUAGUAGUGAAAUGUUACUACAGAAGAGUAUACUAAAAGUAGUUUGAAAACCUUUUAACACAUCAAACACAUUUCAUUUUUAUAGUAAACAACUAAAAGAUGUAAUUGUCUCAAACUGUCACUUGGAAGGGAUGACUUUUUCUAUAUUUUUAUUUAUUUGUCUUUUCUUUAAAAUAGAAAAGAAUUAUAUGUACCUUUUUUGCUUCUAUCUUUUCAUCACCGGCACAACCAGUCUUGUUUGGAGUUGCUUGGGCUUGAUUCCCAUCCGUGCCUUCAUUUCCUUCAUUACUUGGUGAAACAAGCUGCCAAAAGUUAGAGACAAUGUUCAUUUCUACUAUUUGAUUGCAAUGAGAAAUGGAAAGGCAUUUGUGAGACUAAUAGAAAGCAGAAUGCUUAUCCAUUUAUUCAUACCUGAAAUUUCCUAGCAAUAUCCAGGACUGUUUCACCUUUUUUAUUGAUUGCCGUAGUAUCCAUAUUUCCUGUUUGGACAAGAGUACUUACGAUGCUGCUGUGCAAUUUUGCUGCUGCAAGAUGCAAAGGGGUGUUUCCAUCCUCAUCGGUCUCAUUCAAUAGAUCAUUCACCAUGAACAUAUUUUGAAUAUAUCGAACAACUUUAAGAUGUCCAUUUUGGGCUGCUACAUGAAGGAUAUUUUGGUGGUGAUUGUUGAGUAAUUCGACCCAAUAGCGGCAGCGCUUGACAAACAAUUUCAAUACAUUCAGAUGCCCAUUUUCUGCAGCCAUAUGAGCCGGUGUUGCUAAAUUGUUAUCGAGGAAAGAUCCAUUGGAAGGUUUUAGUUGUAGUAAAUGAUCGACCAAGGCUAAGGCACCGGAGGCUGCAGCAUAGUGAAGAGGACUUCUUCCGCAGCUAUCUUUUUCAUUCACCAAUUCCGGCAUAUGUUGGAUUAUAAUUUUCAUAGUCUCUUAAAAGGUAAAAAGUUCAAUUAGGAGACAAAAGAAGGACACGUGUUAAAUAGAUAUAAAGAAAAAAAAUUAGAAAUUUCCUAGAUCACACAAAUUUCUACUUGGUGCCCUAACAAACAAUUGGGGAAUUGUUGUUGAGUUAUACAAAUGAAAACGCCGGAUGAAACCAACCAAGGGGAUCAAAGCCUAAAAAAGGCAAAAAAAAGAAAAAGAAAAAAGGAGAAAGAAUCUUACUCAAAUCAGCUCUCAGAAUGGCCCUAUGGAGAAUCGUCUGGCCGUCGGAACUUCUAUGGAGAAGAGAAUAGGGAUUUGAAUUUGGUAAGAUAGUUUUCACAAUUUCACUUGCCCUCACAUCAACAGCCAUAAAAAGUGGAGACUCCCCAGCAUUGUUGAGUGAAACAAGCAGAUCUGAGUCAUUUGCUUCCACCAAUACAAGCACAGUAGAAUGGUGACCAUUUCUAACAGCUUCAUGUAAUGGCGUGUUGCCUUCCAUGUUUCUCAUUCUCAGUACCUGUUGUAUCCCUCCAGCUUCGACAUCUGUGGACUGGGUCGCCCAAUCAAUAAGAAAUUUUACCACAUGAACAUGGCCAGAUCUAGCUGCAAUGUGAAGUGGGGUUUCAUGUUUAGAGUUCUCAGUGAGAAGCGAAGCUGGUGUACCCUCGCUGAGUAACGCUUCCACCAUUUUCUUGUUCCCUACUCUUGCAGCAAUAUGAAGGGCUGUGUUCUUCCUGUGACUUGAGUCAAAGCCGACAUGUAAGUUCAGGUUACUGAUCUCAUCGUGAUCUACGGCUACGGCUAUCGCCUGAUGCACGCGCUGGAUCAAGAUGUCGAAAACCACUGAAAACAAAGCAUCGGCCAUUGUCUCAGGGCUCUCUACCGAAUGCCCUCUCUCACAUACAUUGAGAAUGACCUAGAAAAACCAAGUCAUUGUUAAAUCUUGACUAAUAUUUUAAUAUUAACUAAUAUUUAUUUUUAUUAAUCUUAAAUAAGACAUUUCUUUAUUAAAUAUUAAAUCUUAGGUAAAAUAUUAUAGAUACACGAAAUAAUUAUAAAAUAUUUACUAUAAAAAAUUAGUGAUCUAUGUAGAGUCAUAGUUAUAACAUAUUGGUAAAUAAGAUAAAAAACUACUCAUAUUAAAAAUAAAGUACCUAUUUUGACUUAAUAUUUAAAAAUUAUUUUAAACUUACGUUGUGAUAUUUUAAGUUAUUUUAUUAAGUGGUGGUGGUGGCGGUGUAUUCGUGGCUCUAGGUGCCCCUGGGGGGACAGUAGCUGCCAUUGUUAAAUCAAAUCAAACCAACAGAUCCCUUCUUCAAUAAAUCACACUAAAUUCGCCGAAAAACUCAACAACAUGCGAUCCAAAUCUACAAAUCGAGAAACAAAACAAAUAAAAUUUCCAAUAAACCUAACAAAAAUCACAAUCAAUAAACAAACAAUAUAGAUACCAUCAAGAUUUCAUCCCCAUGUACAAUCAAAUCAAUAAACGAAUUUAAAUAACAUCAGAAAAAAAGAACCUAGAAUCGGACAGAUCAGAUCUGUCAAUCGAACAUCAAUCCAACAACAAUUAGGGUUUGGAUCGGGGCCGAUCGCGAUAAGGGUUUUGCGGAGGGAGAUCUCCGAAUAAAUUAGGGUUUUGCAGGAGAGGGGAAGAGUGCGGAAAUGAGAUCGGGGAAGAAAGAAGAAGAUGGCAGGGGGUUAUGUAGAUAUCUAUAUAUAUGUAUAUAAAAGUACAGAACGAAUGGUUUCUCCCUGCAUUUUCUAAGGAAUCAAACAGGGAAAAAAAAAAAAAAACAUAACAGAAGAAAAUCCCAGUUAACGGAAAAUUACCUAAUAACGAUAGAAAAAAGAGAAAAUAUGAUUGCAACUCUGGAAAUCUCUUUGCCCGAGGGUUACGAUCAGAAUUCAAAUAGGUCCAGAAAAACUCUCCCUUCUCUCUCCAGACAUUACUGACAUAACUCUGUCUUUCUCCGUUUCUCUUUUUUUU